UACGUAGGGUGCAAGCGUUGUCCGGAAUUAUUGGGCGUAAAGAGCUGCGUAAGGCGGUCUGUCGCGUCUGCUGUGAAAACUCAGGGACCUUAACCCUGAAGCUUGCAGUGGGUACGGGACAGACUAGAGGUGCGGUAGGGGAGACUGGAAUUCCUGGUGUGAGCGGUGAAAUGACGCAGAUAUCAGGAGGGAACACCGGUGGCGAAGGCGGGUCUCUGGA
rnacentral:rRNA from 1 species